GAAGAUGAGUCUGGCUGUGGAAUGCGAUAUAGACUGUGGCUGGGAGUGUGUAAGGUCUGACAGAGGGAGGCCUGGGAGGACGGGAAGAUGAGUCUGGCUGUGGAAUGCGAUGUAGACUGUGGCUGGGAGUGUGUAAGGACUGACAGAGGGAGGCCUGGGAGGACAGGGAGAUGAGUCUGGCUGUGGAAUGCGAUGUAGACUGUGGCUGGGAGUGUGUAAGGACUGACAGAGGGAGGCCUGGGAGGACAGGAAGAUGAGUCUGGCUGUGGAAUGCGAUAUAGACUGUGGCUGGGAGUGUGUAAGGACUGACAGAGGGAGGCCUGGCAGGACGGGAAGAUGAGUCUGGCUGUGGAAUGCGAUAUAGACUGUGG